rnacentral:rRNA from 1 species
AUUGAACGCUGGCGGCAGGCCUAACACAUGCAAGUCGAGCGGCAGCGACUUAACUGAACCUUCGGGGAACGUUAAGGGCGGCGAGCGGCGGACGGGUGAGUAAUGCCUGGGAAUAUGCCCUGAUGUGGGGGAUAACUAUUGGAAACGAUAGCUAAUACCGCAUAAUCUCUUCGGAGCAAAGAGGGGGACCUUCGGGCCUCUCGCGUCAGGAUUAGCCCAGGUGGGAUUAGCUUGUUGGUGAGGUAAUGGCUCACCAAGGCAACGAUCCCUAGCUGGUCUGAGAGGAUGAUCAGCCACACUGGAACUGAGACACGGUCCAGACUCCUACGGGAGGCAGCAGUGGGGAAUAUUGCACAAUGGGGGAAACCCUGAUGCAGCCAUGCCGCGUGUGUGAAAAAGGCCUUCGGGUUGUAAAGCACUUUCAGUAGGGAGGAAGGUAGUGUAGUUAACACCUGCAUUAUUUGACGUUACCUACAGAAGAAGCACCGGCUAACUCCGUGCCAGCAGCCGCGGUAAUACGGAGGGUGCGAGCGUUAAUCGGAAUUACUGGGCGUAAAGCGCAUGCAGGCGGCCUGUUAAGUCAGAUGUGAAAGCCCGGGGCUUAACCUCGGAAUUGCAUUUGAAACUGGCAGGCUAGAGUCUUGUAGAGGGGGGUAGAAUUUCAGGUGUAGCGGUGAAAUGCGUAGAGAUCUGAAGGAAUACCAGUGGCGAAGGCGGCCCCCUGGACAAAGACUGACGCUCAGAUGCGAAAGCGUGGGGAGCAAACAG